GCAUAUCAAUAAGCGGAGGAAAAGAAACCAACCGGGAUUGCCUUAGUAACGGCGAGUGAAGCGGCAAAAGCUCAAAUUUGAAAUCUGGUACCUUCGGUGCCCGAGUUGUAAUUUGGAGAGGGCAACUUUGGGGCCGUUCCUUGUCUAUGUUCCUUGGAACAGGACGUCAUAGAGGGUGAGAAUCCCGUGUGGCGAGGAGUGCGGUUCUUUGUAAAGUGCCUUCGAAGAGUCGAGUUGUUUGGGAAUGCAGCUCUAAGUGGGUGGUAAAUUCCAUCUAAAGCUAAAUAUUGGCGAGAGACCGAUAGCGAACAAGUACAGUGAUGGAAAGAUGAAAAGAACUUAGAAAAGAGGGUGAAAAAGUACGUGAAAUUGUUGAAAGGGAAGGGCAUUUGAUCAGACAUGGUGUUUUGUGCCCUCUGCUCCUUGUGGGUAGGGGAAUCUCGCAUUUCACUGGGCCAGCAUCAGUUUUGGUGGCAGGAUAAAUCCAUAGGAAUGUAGCUUGCCUCGGUAAGUAUUAUAGCCUGUGGGAAUACUGCCAGCUGGGACUGAGGACUGCGACGUAAGUCAAGGAUGCUGGCAUAAUGGUUAUAUGCCGCCCGUCUUGAAACACGGACC
rnacentral:rRNA from 1 species